UAUGCCUCCAUCCCCAGGUGAGUAGGUUUCCUCUGUGAUGUCAUUCACAACAGAAAAGAAUCAUAUCCCAAACCAUCACCAUAGCAACUGACUAAGUGCCAUGGACUUUCUGUAAAUGUAUGUCCUCGAGGUUACCAUCACCAGCACAUGAGAGAGCAUCCGCCACAUGGCACUUAAUAAAUGCUUGUGGGUUGAAUGACUGAUUAAGAUGGAACUGCAAAGAAUCUUGCUGGACAGCCUUUGAUAAGUGCCAGGAAAUAGGCAGUGGAACCCUGUAGCAGACAGAAUAUGGCCAUGAACUGAAUAACCAUGGAGGUGGACACAUUGUAAGGAAGAAUGACUAAAGGAAUAGCAGCUUUUGUAAUAAAGAUACCUUUUACUCCACAAUAUCCCGUUGACCUCUAGGCUCAGUAUUUGAGCUCAUUCUUAAUGGCUUAGAUUUUGUGAGUAAUAACAUUUCAUAGGUAAUAGG